UGCAGAAUCUGAAGAUGUGAUGGAAUCUGAAGUUGAUUCAAUCUGAAGUUCCCCUUCAAUCGUUUUUAUUUUAUUGAUAGACUACAAGGACUUAGAAUCUCAACUCUCAAUACAUGUAUUGUCAUACAUGCCAUUCCACCGGAUCUAGCCAAUGGGAUAGAUAACCUUACUCCUAGUCAUCACCAAGCAAAGUAAAGAAAAAGGCAUAACAUAGCCCUAUUAAACCUGGAGGAGCUUAAAAGAGUUGAGUUGCUGUCAAGAUCAGUUGUAGGAAAUAAACAUGUGGAAUAAAACACAAAUUCUGAGUGAACUUUGGUCUGUGUAUAGAUUGUGCUUCAUGUUUAAUUGUAGUUUCUUCAAGGGCAAUGGAUGAGACCAUGUUGCUUGAUAUGUUUGGUAUUUUUUAUCUUUGCUUUCCAUAUUUGUAAUAUAAGAUGUUCCUCUUGUAAUUGUUCUACUGCAGGUUACAGGUUUUGUAUAUUGUGAUCGUGAUCAUGGUAUGAAUUUAUAA